rnacentral:rRNA from 1 species
CCUACGGGUGGCAGCAGUGGGGAAUCUUGGGCAAUGGGGGGAACCCUGAUCCAGCGACGCCGCGUGAGUGAAGAAGUAUUUCGGUAUGUAAAGCUCUGUCAGCAGGGAAGAAAGAAAUGACGGUACCUGACUACGCAGCCCCGGCUAACUACGUGCCAGCAGCCGCGGUAAUACGUAGGGGGCAAGCGUUGUCCGGAUUUACUGGGUGUAAAGGGAGCGUAGUCGGCGAUGCAAGUCUGAAGUGAAAGGCGGGGGGCCAACCUACGGACUGCUUUGGAAACUGUAUGGCUGGAGUGCAGGAGAGGAAAGUGGAAUUCCUAGUGUAGCGGUGAAAUGCGUAGAUAUUAGGAGGAACACCAGUGGCGAAGGCGGCUUACUGGACUGUAACUGACGUUGAGGCUCGAAAGCGUGGGGAGCAAACAGGAUUAGAUACCCUUGUAGUC